rnacentral:rRNA from 1 species
UUGGAGGGCAAGUCUGGUGCCAGCAGCCGCGGUAAUUCCAGCUCCAAUAGCGUAUAUUAAAGUUGUUGCAGUUAAAAAGCUCGUAGUUGAAUUUCGGGAUUCGUCGGUUGGUCGGGCUUCACUGUCCGUACUGACCUGACGGGUUCCUACCUUCUGAAUAACCAGCAUGCUAUUAAGUUAGUGCGUUGGGGAAGCAGAGCUAUUACCUUGAAAAAAUUAGAGUGCUUAAAGCAGGCUUGUGCUUGAAUAGAUUAGCAUGGAAUAAUAAAAUAGGACGGCAUGGUUCUAUUUUGUUGGUUUCUAGGAUCACCGUAAUGAUUAAUAGGGAUAGUUGGGGGCAUUAGUAUUCAAUUGUCAGAGGUGAAAUUCUUGGAUUUAUUGAAGACUAACUUCUGCGAAAGCAUUUGCCAAGGAUGUUUUCAUUAAUCAAGAACGAAAGUUAGGGGAUCGAAGACGAUCAGAUACCGUCGUAGUCUUAACCAUAAACUAUGCCGACUAGGGAUCGGACGAUGUUAAUUUUUUAAUGACUCGUUCGGCGCCUUACGGGAAAC